rnacentral:rRNA from 1 species
UACGUAGGGUGCAAACGUUGCUCGGAAUUAUUGGGCGUAAAGCGCACGUAGGCGGCUUUUCAAGUCCCAUGUGAAAUCCCACGGCUUAACCGUGGAAGUGCAUGGGAAACUGGAAAGCUUGAGUACUUAAGAGGAUCGCGGAAUUCCCGGUGUAGAGGUGAAAUUCGUAGAUAUCGGGAGGAACACCAGUGGCGAAGGCGGCGAUCUGGGAAGAUACUGACGCUGAGGUGCGAAAGCGUGGGGAGCAAACAGG